rnacentral:rRNA from 1 species
GAUGAACGCUGGCGGCGUGCUUAACACAUGCAAGUCGAGCGAGAAGUUUUGAAAAGAUUCUUCGGAUGAAAUUUAAAAUGGAAAGCGGCGGACGGGUGAGUAACGCGUAGGCAACCUGCCCCAUACAAAGGGAUAGCAUUUGGAAACGAAUAUUAAUACCUUAUGAAACUUAACUAGUGCAUGCUAGGUAGGUCAAAGAUUUAUCGGUAUGGGAUGGGCCUGCGUCUGAUUAGCUAGUUGGUGAGGUAACGGCUCACCAAGGCGACGAUCAGUAGCCGACCUGAGAGGGUGAACGGCCACAUUGGAACUGAGACACGGUCCAAACUCCUACGGGAGGCAGCAGUGGGGAAUAUUGCACAAUGGGGGAAACCCUGAUGCAGCAACGCCGCGUGAACGAUGAAGGCCUUUGGGUCGUAAAGUUCUGUUCUAGGUGAUGAAAACUGACAGUAACCUAGGAGAAAGCCCCGGCUAACUCCGUG